GAUGAACGCUGGCGGCGUUCCUAAUACAUUCAAUUCUAUCUAACAGAUGAGGAGCUUGCUCCUCUGACGUUAGCGGCGGACGGGUGAGUAACACGUGGAUAACCUACCUAUAAGACUGGGAUAACUUCGGGAAACCGGAGCUAAUACCGGAUAAUAUAUUGAACCGCAUGGUUCCAUAGUGAAAGACGGUUUUGCUGUCACUUAUAGAUGGAUCCGCGCCGCAUUAGCUAGUUGGUAAGGUAACGGCUUACCAAGGCGACGAUGCGUAGCCGACCUGAGAGGGUGAGCGGCCACACUGGAACUGAGACACGGUCCAGACUCCUACGGGAGGCAGCAGUAGGGAAUCUUCCGCAAUGGGCGAAAGCCUGACGGAGCAACGCCGCGUGAGUGAUGAAGGUCUUCGGAUCGUAAAACUCUGUGAUUAGGGAAGAACAAAUGUGUAAGUAACUAUGCACGUCUUGACGGUACCUAAUCAGAAAGCCACGGCUAACUACGUG
rnacentral:rRNA from 1 species